UCCUCGUUCUCUUUUUCCUUAUUGUCUUGUGGGGAAGAAGCUUGGGAACUGAACUGUGAAGUUCUCCAGAGGCUCUUGGGACUUGAUUUAGCGGCAUGCCCCGCUGCCUUGGCCUCCUGUCAGAUGUUACUCCAUCUCCUUCAGUCUAUAGGUUGACCUCUAAACAUGAUGAAGGUUUGGAAAUGUGCCUUAUCACAGAUUACUCCCCUGAAAAGCUUACUUCUACCAUGACUGAAGGGAAGACAGAUGCUGUUGUCGAGAUGGUAACAUCUGAGAACAAACAGGAAGCAAGCUACUUGUCAACCUACUGGGCCAAGAAAAAUGAAAUGCAGUGCGGUGCAAAGCACGAGGGGUUUGGAGACCUGGAAGGCAAGGAUCCUGAAAGUGGUGCCAGCACUAUCUGUGUAACAGGGGUGUCUCAACACUUCAGGACAGAUGAGAAGCUGAACCUGCUGUCAUUCUCACAGCUGGGCCUGAAAAUAAUUUUAAUGAAGGGAAUAAUUUUUAAUGUGCUGAUAACGAUGCUUAUGUGGAAAAAAAAGAAUGAAAGCAACUAGAUAGCACAGACCUGAAGUACCAUAAAAGUCUGCUGAGGUAUCUUUGCUGGCGCCUCAUGUGCAAGAAGGAAGAAACGAAUUUCUAUUGGGACAGAUAUCACUUGCUGUUUCUGUAUAUCAUGCUAGCCAUUAUAUGCUAAGUUGCUUUAUUUGCAUUAUUACAAAGCUACUCAAAAAAUGAGCUUAAAUUCUCAGAAUUCUGCUCUGCCACAUGCCUGAAUCAUUUAGCAUAACAAUUUUUCGUGAAGCAUAGAUUGCUACUAAUCGAUGAAUUAUAGAUUGUCAAGCAUCCCUGCUACUUGCAUUAAAAUGACAUGUACAAUUUCUGCUUGGGGAGUGUUGUUGAAAGCUGCAAGCUGAAUAUCCGUUGAGUGUGAAUUUUUCAUAUUUCGAUAGCUUUCAUGUAUGCAUAUCUUAGGAUGGAUACUUCCUGACCUUCCUCCCUCCUAUUUCAGUUGCGAAUUAAAAACUCUGAAAAACAAAGGAAGUCUCAUUCAGGGUGCUGUGCAUUGUAUAUUGCUGUCUUUUGCUAGAUCAGAGAAGGACGUCUUCUUUUCUGUAAAAGAUAUGCUGCUAGAUCCCCCAGGAGUGCAGAACUCAGUGGAAUUCUCACUUCAUUAUCACAGAAGAAAAAAAUGCUCUUUAAUAUUUUUUUAAUCUGUUCUUCCUUAACAUGUCCUUCAUUUCCACCAGCUUAAGAUUUGGCUUUGCCUUUACUACAAACUACUUUUGUUCUUUUUCUUUAGGUCUAAUAAGCUUAGAUUUCCUAUUUUUUUAAACUAUUAUAUAAAACAAUACUGAAAUACCUACCUCUUUGUGUGUGUGAGCUCCUUAGAAAUAACGCAUUCAUGUGAAAUUUGCAUGCUGCUAAGUCUUGCAUUUUACUGCCAGUCACUCUGAUGUACUGACAUUUCUUCAAGUCUUUGGCAGCUGUUAAAACAAUUCUUAUCAAUAAUAGGAAACCUGCUUGUCUUUUGUAUAUCUAAUUUGAGGAACUUGUUUUUCCCUUCAGAUGAGCUUUAGAAGUGAUCCUGGCCUUUAGGAUGAAGAAAGGAAGGGGUAUCAGCAGGGACAGAAUGUAACUUUUCCUUUCAGUCUGACUUGCCUACAGGGCACUGUUUAUGAUGAUUGGCUUGUUCCACUUCGGGGAGAAUGGCUACAAACUCUCUUUUCUCCCCCAGUCAGACACACUUUCUGACCGUAUUCGGGGGUAGGACAGCUUGGCUGGCUUGGAGGGAGGGAGAAUGGAGCAAAGCAUGUCUCCUCCAGGAGUGCUAUGUGAAAGAAAGUAUGAAACACGGCUUGACCACAGUGAGUGGAUGAGGAAGUGAUCCAGGUUCUUAAAGGCAGAUGUCCAGUGCUAUGGGAGAUUAGAAGCCUGUUGUAUCCUGCCUCUAGCUGUUCCCCAUUCACAAGCUUCACUGGGGAACAAGGUGCCUUCUUGGUAUUAAUGACACCAAACUGACUGGCCUAUGUCUCAAGGUCCAGCCUGUUACUGAGGAGGUGAGAAAGGCAUUUUCUCCUUUUGUGACAACUGUUUCUAUGUCCUUUUGAAGCACCAGAGAUUUCUCUGGAGGAAGAGAUGAGAAGGAUGCUCCGAGGGAAACAUACUCUCUCAGCAAGACUCAAACCUCACUUGUACCUUCACACCAGUGCCCAAAUUAAGUGGCAGGGAAAAACUCGCCAGACUAGUAGGGAUGUUUCUCUUUCACAGGCUAUUUCUCAUCCUACUGGAUUUACAGCCAUUGAAAAAGCCUCUGAUUUUAGAAAGGCUCGUGCCUCAAAUGCUUUUAAUCAAAAGUCCCGGUGCUUCAUGUGGGAGAGCUUCUCUGUGUGCAGCCAUUGCACAGUGCAUGCUAAGGUCCCUGUCACAAGAUAAAGAGUCCACAGUACUGAAGGGCACAAGAUCGAAAUCUCCCUGAUCUUGUAUAAUGCUGUUGCCACCUGACCAUUAAGUAGGUGGCCCGUCACAGAGUGAUAGAAGGUUACUGACCCCUCCUGCCCAGGAACAACUUCCAGGUCUAUUGCUGUCAUUAGCUUAGCACAGAUUACUUGGAUUAGCUUAGCACAGAUGCUAAGGGAUUCAUUCUCCUACCUCAUCCUUGACAGAACAGCCACUCUCAUUUUUCCCCAGCUGUAGAAAGCCAAUGGGUAUUUAAACUCCUAAAUUCCAGUCAGCAGAUGCUCUUGAAGCUGCAAUUGUCAUUAGGGCUGCUGCAUCACGGAGAAAGAGAACUUAGUGAGGCUGCCUAGACUGUUUUUGACUUAUAAGGCAGUAUCAGUCCCACUUUCACACAUUCCCAACUGAUUAAACUUGCUUUAAAAACUUCAGGGAUGUGCAAGAGCAGUUUCCAUAUUCCCUUACCUUUUGAUAUAUCUCGUUAAUUGUUAUCCAUGCUAAAUCUUUUCUGUUGCAUUUCAAACCCACUUCUAGCUGCAGGGUCAAGGAGGACUGUUUGCUACCUACCUGUUUACACGUCUCAAUCUUUUCUCCUCCAGGGUAAAUGCCCCCAACUAUAAGAUUGGCUGAGUGAGGGGAUGAUAAAUAAAGUUAAAUGUGUCAACUGAAAUGAACAUUAGCAUGUAAUCUCCAUGACACUGAAUUUGUAGGUCUAGUUUGAAGAUACUUUCAAAUCUUGAGGUUUCAAUCUCUCAUCACCAUCAUUCGUGACUCCAUUUCCCCUUUGUGCUUUCUUGUUUAUUUCAAAAGAGAGAAAAACCGCAGUGAAAAAUGAGGGCAGGAAAUAACAAAGUAGGACAGGAAGCAGAACGGGUCUCAUGGCCCAGGCGGUGAAGGGAAAAGGAUACAUAAUCAGUUCCAUGACGACACAGUCGAGAUCUGGGUCACCUUGUUCCCCUGCACCCUAUCGCAGAAACCACUUCCUCCAGAAAGUGGAGCACAAAAAUAUAGAGAAGAGAGAGUAGGGCUGGUAUGGCACGUGGCAGGGAGGCGGAGAAGCGUGCAGGAGAAGAGAGCAGACGUUAGACCACAAGCCAAAGUGAAACGGGGGUUAAGAUACCCUCCCUUCCUGUCCUCUCACCACAGCUUAAUCUUGAGUGGGGGGAGUUGUUGUGGGCAGAACAGCAAAGAUUGAGCCAUGUAUAGUGUAGGUGGGGGAAAGAAGAGUAAAAGAGAAAUUGAAAAGAGUGUUGGGUGGCAGGGAAGAAGAACUUAGCAGCAUAUAAGAUUUCUGCAUUUGCUGAUAGGUCUAUGCUGGAAAAUCCUUCUGCUUCUCUCUCUUUCAAAAGGGAAAGGAAGAAGCAGCAACAUACCAGUCAUCUCUCAUACUGGCAGGGAAAAUGUUGCCAUGGUCCACCUUGUCCACCUGUCCCCUCUGCCAGUUCCUGCCCCUAAUAGCUAACUGUGAGCUGGAGAUGAAUUUGCAUCUUUUGUAGGGGCUUUGUUGGAGAAAACACCCUGCCCUGCCUUUGUUACCCCUUAUUACACAUGGCCUUGUCCAAGAAACAGCCUCUCAUCCUCUUCCCAUGAACAGGGACCCUACAAUGGUCUUUCUAAGGAGCAGAGUCUGAAGAUCCCUAUAGAUUUGUUGAAGCUCAUUAAGGUGUGGAAGUACCUCUAGUAAGACCUGAAAUCUUAGGCUGAGGUUAUGGGAACCAGAGGCACUGAAAGUCAGUAAAAAUCACAAAAACAAAGCCAUUCAGAACGUACAUAAUUCUUGUUUCACGUGCUUCUGUGCAGUUCUUCCAAGUGGCCACAGGAAGCCUCUAAGGUUCUCUCUAAAGCAAAAGGACAGGGUAGACUGAGCUAGACAAACCCACAAGGAGGCACUCACAGCUUAUGAACAGCAGCGGGAGCAAUGGCAAAGGGGAGACCCUGCGUGUGUUCCUCCUCCUGUGAACAAGUUAGCUCAGUUUGUCACCAGUCUGGCUCGUGAAGGGCUCUUCUUAUCGGGAAAAGCAGCUCAUUUACUAUUUCUGCCUGCUGUCCAAUCCCAUCCCUGCUACCCUUCAGCACCCUAACACCACUCAGAGCUCGUACUUUCAUGCUGCUUAAUGGCCUGAGGGAGCUAAGAGCUGGCACAAGUUCUCUGUUCCCAGCAUAGAUCAGGACAGAAUCCUUCAAGAAAAGGGAAAGCCCUGUGCCCUCAAACCUUACUCUUCAGAGCCUAUAUUAGGCCAGGGACUUAGAAGCCCCAGGUUUCAAGCUUUUAUGGAUUUAACGGCUGCAGCACAGCCAGAAGUGCAAGAAAGAAGAGAGGUGGUUAAACAAGAGCCAUAACCCAGUGCUGAGAGGCUGAAGCUACUGGACCUCAUGUUUUAUUUUGUGGGUCUCAGUAGAUAAGAAUUUUUGUGUGUCAUAACCUGAAUACACAUUUUAUCUAUCCAGUAUUUCAACUGUAGAACAAACUAGACAAGUGUGAAGCAGGAUCAGCACAAGGAUGGAGCCCCACACCUUAAAGUAAUCCAGAUUAACUCUGCAGCUGAAGCUGGGGAGGUUGUAGUUGGCAGCACAUAAUAUUCCAUCCUGUGCCCAUAAUCUGAUCCUUACAGGGCUCUAAUUUUCUUGUCAGGGCAAAGACGCAAUGGGCCUCAACACGGAAGUCAGCCUUGGCUCGAGAAGGCAAAGGCCAAGAGCCAGAUCCAUCGAGUUUAGGCAUUUCAUCAUCCCUUACAGAGAAAGGAUUUUCAGGAAGCUUUAGUCUGAGGAGUGGCCUUCUUCAGAGGGCUGGAACAGCUCAAGUGCAGCUCUGCCCAACGCACUGGCACAGCUUGUCAGCUCUUUUCACUGGGGUUUAUCAGCGCUUCCGGCCGUACAAAAGCUAACAUUGCUCAAGUGGCUGUAUCACUACCAGGUCAUAGAGAGGCUGUAAGACCAGGAUGGCAAAUAUACCUUUGAGGGACAUGGGAGGCGUUGGGGGAGAAGACAGAUAAUGUUGGGGAGGUGCUAAAGGACUACCUUGGCUCCCUUCCAUUCAUGACCGCUAACCACAGUCUAAAACAAGUUUUCCACAGCUUUGAAACCAGGGGGGGGCGUUGGCAAGAUGCUUUCCACGAGAUAAAGGGGCAUGAAACUCUGAGGUGAAAAGUACGGUUGACAUUUGAGUUUCCAUGGCAACUUGUUUCCUGCUUCCCCCUAAAACUGGGGCACUGAAAAAAAAGCCAGCUGGG